rnacentral:rRNA from 1 species
GAUGAACGCUGACGGCGUGCCUAAUACAUGCAAGUCGAGCGAAUGGAUUAAGAGCUUGCUCUUAUGAAGUUAGCGGCGGAUGGGUGAGUAACACGUGGGUAACCUGCCCAUAAGACUGGGAUAACUCCGGGAAACCGGGGCUAAUACCGGAUAACAUUUUGAACCGCAUGGUUCGAAAUUGAAAGGCGGCUUCGGCUGUCACUUAUGGAUGGACCCGCGUCGCAUUAGCUAGUUGGUGAGGUAACGGCUCACCAAGGCAACGAUUCGUAGCCGACCUGAGAGGGUGAUCGGCCACACUGGGACUGAGACACGGCCCAGACUCCUACGGGAGGCAGCAGUAGGGAAUCUUCCGCAAUGGACGAAAGUCUGACGGAGCAACGCCGCGUGAGUGAUGAAGGCUUUCGGGUCGUAAAACUCUGUUGUUAGGGAAGAACAAGUGCUAGUUGAAUAAGCUGGCACCUUGACGGUACCUAACCAGAAAGCCACGGCUAACUACGUGCCAGCCGCCGCGGUAA